rnacentral:rRNA from 1 species
GACGAACGCUGGCGGCGUGCCUAAUACAUGCAAGUCGAACGCACAGUUUAUACCGUAGCUUGCUACACCAUAAACUGUGAGUUGCGAACGGGUGAGUAACGCGUAGGUAACCUGCCUGGUAGCGGGGGAUAACUAUUGGAAACGAUAGCUAAUACCGCAUAAUAUUAAUUAUUGCAUGAUAAUUGAUUGAAAGAUGCAAUUGCAUCACUACCAGAUGGACCUGCGUUGUAUUAGCUAGUAGGUGAGGUAACGGCUCACCUAGGCGACGAUACAUAGCCGACCUGAGAGGGUGAUCGGCCACACUGGGACUGAGACACGGCCCAGACUCCUACGGGAGGCAGCAGUAGGGAAUCUUCGGCAAUGGACGAAAGUCUGACCGAGCAACGCCGCGUGAGUGAAGAAGGGUGUCGGAUCGUAAAGCUCUGUUGUAAGAGAAGAACGGGUGUGAGAGUGGAAAGUUCACACUGUGACGGUAUCUUACCAGAAAGGGACGGCUAACUACGUG